GAGUGGAGGUAGGGGCGUGGCCUGAGAGAAGCUUUUUAGUGAAAGACAGGAAGCCUUGAGAGACAGGGUCUUGCCAUGUUGUUGCCCAGGCUCGUCUCCAACUCUUGACCUCAAGCAAUCCUCCGACCUCUGCCUUCCAAAGUGCUGGUAUUACAGGCGGGACAGCGAAGACUGGCGUUUCCGCCGCUGAGGGGCUGAGGCCGGGAGGGCGCAGCGUAGCCGUCCCGAGCUGAUGACGUCAAACGCCGUGUGCUCACCCACGUGUGGUGCCCCUCUCCCGGUGUCGGUGCUGGAGCUGAGGACGCCUUUCCUGCGGGCGUAGUUGCUGGCUGCUCGGGCACUGGGACCUCGGCGGCUUGGGGACGCUGGCCGCGAAGUAGGGAGCGCAGGUGGCCGCUCGGGGUGAGGGCCCUGGGUCAUGGAGCACUUCUUGCUGGAGGUGGCAGCCGCGCCGCUGCGGUUAAUCGCAGCCAAGAACGAGAAGAGCCGCAGUGAGCUGGGCAGGUUCUUGGCCAAGCAGGUGUGGACACCUCAAGAUCGCCAGUGUGUCCUGAGUACCUUAGCACAGUUGCUUUUGGAUAAGGACUGUACUGUGCUGGUUGGUCGCCAGCUUCGCCCUCUCCUUUUGGAUUUGCUGGAAAGGAAUGCCGAAGCCAUUAAAGCUGGAGGCCAAAUCAACCAUGAUCUGCAUGAACGGCUCUGUGUGUCGAUGAGCAAACUCAUUGGUAACCAUCCUGAUGUCCUCCCGUUUGCCCUGAGAUAUUUCAAGGACACAUCCCCAGUCUUUCAAAGACUUUUCCUAGAGAGUUCAGAUGCUAAUCCAGUACGCUAUGGACGUAGGAGGAUGAAGCUCCGGGACCUAAUGGAAGCAGCCUUCAAGUUUCUGCAGCAGGAGCAGUCUGUGUUCCGGGAGCUCUGGGACUGGAGUGUGUGUGUCCCUCUCCUCAGAAGCCAUGACACCUUGGUUCGCUGGUAUACAGCCAAUUGUCUUGCUUUGGUUACCUGUAUGAAUGAAGAGCACAAGUUAUCAUUUCUUAAGAAGAUGUUUAAUAGUGAUGAAUUGAUCCAUUUCAGGUUGAGGUUAUUAGAAGAGGCCCAGUUGCAGGACUUGGAGAAGGCCUUGGUUUUGGCCAAUCCAGAAGUCUCCCUUUGGCAUAAGCAGAAGGAGCUGCAGUACUUACAGGGACAUCUUGUUUCGUCUGACCUCUCCCCUAGGGUGACAGCUGUUUGUGGUGUGGUGCUGCCUGGGCAGCUGCCAGCCCCUGGAGAGCUGGGUGGUAAUAGGAGUUCUUCACGUGAACAGGAGCUGGCCCUUAGGUCUUAUGUGCUGGUUGAGUCUGUCUGCAAAAAUCUUCAGACCCUGGCUAUGGCGGUUGCUUCUCAGAAUGCUGUGUUGUUGGAAGGACCAAUAGGAUGUGGCAAAACUUCCUUAGUGGAAUAUUUAGCUGCAGUGACAGGUAGAACAAAGCCUCCUCAGCUUCUCAAAGUCCAGCUUGGAGAUCAGACAGACAGUAAGAUGCUUUUGGGGAUGUAUCGCUGCACAGAUGUUCCUGGAGAGUUUGUGUGGCAGCCUGGCACCCUGACACAGGCAGCCACAAUGGGCCACUGGAUCCUUCUGGAGGAUAUUGACUAUGCCCCCUUAGACGUGGUUUCUGUGCUGAUCCCUCUCUUGGAGAAUGGAGAGCUCUUGAUUCCUGGCCGAGGUGACUGUCUGAAAGUGGCACCUGGAUUUCAGUUUUUUGCAACCAGGAGACUCUUGAGCUGUGGAGGAAAUUGGUAUCGACCGCUAAACAGUCAUGCUACUUUGCUAGACAAAUAUUGGACCAAAAUUCACCUGGAUAACCUGGAUAAGAGAGAACUGAAUGAGGUUCUUCAGAGCAGAUAUCCUAGCCUAUUGGCAGUGGUUGAUCACCUGCUUGACAUUUAUAUCCAACUUACUGGAGAGAAACAUCACUCUUGGAGUGAUAGUUCUGUUGGAUGUGAACAGGCACCUGAAGAAGUUUCAGAAGCCAGAAGAGAAAACAAAAGACCAACCCUUGAGGGAAGAGAAUUAUCUCUAAGGGAUCUGCUGAAUUGGUGUAAUAGGAUUGCCCAUAGCUUUGACAGUUCAUCUUUAUCAGCAUCAUUAAAUAUUUUUCAAGAGGCUCUAGACUGUUUCACAGCAAUGCUUUCUGAGCAUACAAGCAAACUGAAAAUGGCAGAAGUUAUUGGAAGCAAAUUGAACAUUUCUAGAAAAAAGGCUGAAUUCUUUUGUCAACUUUAUAAACCAGAAAUUGUGAUCAAUGAGCUAGAUUUGCAAGUGGGUCGAGUGCGGCUUCUACGGAAACAAAGUGAGGCUGUUCACAUACAGAGGGAGAAGUUCACUUUCGCUGCUACACGGCCGUCCUCUGUUCUCAUCGAGCAGCUUGCAGUGUGUGUCAGCAAAGGGGAGCCUGUGUUGCUGGUGGGAGAGACCGGGACUGGCAAAACCUCUACCGUCCAAUACUUGGCUCACAUUACAGGCCACCGUUUGAGGGUUGUCAAUAUGAAUCAACAAAGUGAUACUGCAGACUUGCUUGGAGGUUAUAAACCGGUGGACCAUAAGCUUAUUUGGCUACCCUUACGGGAGGCAUUUGAGGAACUCUUUGCUCAGACAUUUUCCAAGAAACAAAACUUUACGUUCUUGGGGCACAUUCAGACCUGUUACAGACAGAAACGGUGGCAUGAUCUCCUGAGACUAAUGCAGCAUGUACACAAGUCUGCUGUUAACAAGGAUGGAAAAGACAGUGAAACUGGGUUACUCAUAAAAGAGAAAUGGGAAGCAUUUGGUCUUAGACUCAACCAUGCCCAACAACAGAUGAAAAUGACUGAAAAUACCUUAUUGUUCGCAUUUGUAGAGGGUACAUUAGCUCAGGCUGUAAAGAAAGGAGAGUGGAUCUUGUUGGAUGAGAUUAACUUGGCUGCUCCAGAAAUACUAGAAUGUCUGAGUGGUUUGCUUGAAGGAUCUUCUGGAUCCCUGGUGUUGCUGGAUCGAGGAGACACAGAGCCACUGGUUCGGCAUCCUGACUUCUGUUUAUUUGCCUGUAUGAAUCCAGCAACUGAUGUAGGCAAAAGAAAUCUCCCACCAGGAAUAAGAAACAGGUUCACAGAACUUUAUGUAGAAGAAUUAGAAAGCAAAGAAGACUUACAGGUUCUUAUUAUAGAUUAUCUGAAAGGAUUGAGUGUGAACAAGAAUACAGUGCAAGGAAUCAUAAACUUCUACACAGCUUUGCGGAAAGAGUCUGGGACCAAACUGGUGGAUGGCACUGGCCAUAGACCUCACUACAGCCUUCGGACUCUGUGCCGGGCCCUGCGAUUUGCAGCCUCCAAUCCAUGUGGCAACAUUCAGCGCUCACUCUAUGAGGGUUUUUGUUUGGGUUUCUUAACACAGCUUGACAGGGCAUCACACCCAAUAGUUCAGAAGCUCAUCUGUCAACACAUUGUCCCUGGCAAUGUCAAGAGUCUGUUGAAGCAGCCUAUUCCAGAGCCAAAAGGAGGUCGGCUUAUCCAGGUUGAAGGCUACUGGAUUGCGGUGGGAGACAAGGAGCCUACAAUAGAUGAGACGUACAUUCUGACAUCUUCUGUGAAGCUGAACCUGAGAGAUAUAGUCCGAGUUGUCUCUGCAGGAACCUAUCCAGUGCUGAUUCAGGGAGAGACAUCAGUUGGUAAAACAAGCCUGAUCCAGUGGCUGGCUGCAGCUACUGGCAACCACUGUGUGCGUAUUAAUAAUCACGAACACACGGAUAUUCAGGAGUACAUUGGUUGUUACACAUCUGACUCCUCAGGGAAGCUUGUCUUUAAAGAAGGUGUUCUUAUUGAUGCUAUGAGAAAAGGCUAUUGGAUUAUUUUAGAUGAAUUAAAUUUGGCCCCUACUGAUGUGUUAGAGGCGCUGAAUAGGCUGUUGGAUGAUAACCGUGAAUUGCUCGUAACAGAAACACAGGAAGUUGUUAAAGCACACCCUCGGUUUAUGCUUUUUGCCACCCAAAAUCCCCCAGGACUUUAUGGAGGCAGAAAGGUCCUUUCUAGAGCCUUCAGGAAUCGGUUUGUGGAAUUGCACUUUGAUGAGUUACCUAGCUCCGAGUUGGAAACAAUCUUGCACAAGCGGUGUAGUUUGCCACCCUCCUAUUGCAGCAAGUUGGUUAAAGUCAUGCUGGAUCUUCAGUCCUAUCGCAGAAGUUCUUCAGUGUUUGCUGGAAAGCAGGGCUUCAUCACCCUUCGUGAUCUGUUCCGAUGGGCUGAAAGAUACAGAUUGGCUGAGCAGACCGAGAAGGAGUAUGACUGGCUACAGCAUUUAGCCAAUGAUGGUUAUAUGCUUCUGGCAGGUCGAGUCAGGAAGCAGGAGGAAGUUGAUGUGAUUCAAGAAGUCCUUGAGAAACAUUUCAAGAAAAAAUUGUGUCCUCAAUCUCUUUUCUCCAAAGAAAAUGUUCUAAAAUUGCUGGGUAAAUUGUCUACUCAGAUAUCCACAUUGGAGUGUAACUUUGGCCACAUCGUGUGGACUGAGGGCAUGCGGAGACUCGCGAUGCUAGUGGGAAGGGCAUUGGAAUUUGGUGAACCUGUGCUGCUGGUUGGAGACACUGGGUGUGGGAAAACUACUAUCUGUCAGGUAUUUGCAGCCUUGGCAAAUCAGAAAUUAUACUCUGUCAGCUGCCACUUACACAUGGAGACAUCAGACUUCCUGGGUGGCCUGCGGCCGGUGAGACAAAAGCCAAACGACAAGGAAGAAAUUGACACAUCAAGACUCUUUGAGUGGCAUGAUGGGCCUCUGGUUCAGGCCAUGAAGGAGGACGGCUUUUUCCUCUUGGAUGAGAUCUCAUUGGCCGAUGACUCUGUCUUGGAAAGACUCAACAGUGUCCUUGAAGUAGAAAAGUCUCUGGUAUUAGCUGAAAAAGGCAGUCCAGAGGACAAGGAUAGUGAAGUAGAGCUGUUGACUGCUGGGAAAAAAUUUCGUAUUCUAGCAACCAUGAACCCUGGGGGUGACUUUGGAAAAAAGGAGCUGUCUCCUGCCUUAAGAAACCGGUUUACAGAAAUAUGGUGCCCUCAAAGCACAAGCCGUGAAGAUUUAAUUCAGAUCAUCAAUCAUAAUCUUCGUCCAGGAUUGUGUCUGGGCAGAACAGAUCCUAAAGGGUCUGACAUACCUGAAGUGAUGCUGGAUUUCAUUGACUGGCUGACCCACCAAGAGUUUGGCAGAAAGUGUGUGGUCAGUAUCAGAGACAUCCUGUCCUGGGUUAACUUCAUGAACAAAAUGGGGGAGGAAGCUGCUUUGAAAAGGCCAGAGAUCAUCUCCACUGUGACAUCUUUUGUCCAUGCUGCAUGCCUGGUGUACAUAGAUGGAAUAGGUUCAGGGGUAACUUCCUCUGGGUUUGGUACAGCCCUUUUGGCACGAAAAGAAUGUCUGAAAUUUCUAAUCAAGAGGCUUGCCAAGAUAGUACGACUUACAGAAUAUCAGAAAAAUGAGUUGAAGAUUUAUGACAGAAUGAAGGCCAAAGAAUUCACUGGAAUAGAUAACCUUUGGGGAAUUCAUCCAUUUUUUAUACCAAGGGGACCUGUCCUACACAGGAAUAAUAUUGCAGACUAUGCACUCAGUGCAGGGACCACUGCUAUGAAUGCACAGAGGCUCUUAAGAGCUACCAAACUGAAGAAGCCCAUUCUCCUGGAGGGUUCCCCUGGUGUUGGCAAGACAAGUUUGGUGGGAGCAUUAGCAAAGGCUUCAGGAAAUACCCUUGUUAGAAUCAACUUAUCAGAGCAAACGGACAUCACAGACCUGUUGGGAGCAGAUCUACCUGUUGAAGGUGGCAAGGGAGGAGAGUUUGCCUGGCGUGAUGGCCCCUUACUGGCAGCUUUGAAGGCAGGCCAUUGGGUGGUGUUGGAUGAGCUUAACCUGGCUUCUCAGUCUGUAUUGGAAGGACUCAAUGCUUGUUUUGACCACCGAGGAGAAAUCUAUGUGCCUGAGUUAGGAAUGAGCUUUCAAGUGCAGCAUGAAAAGACGAAGAUUUUUGGGUGUCAGAAUCCCUUUAGACAAGGAGGUGGGAGGAAAGGCUUGCCCAGGUCUUUCCUUAACAGAUUCACUCAGGUCUUCGUUGAUCCCCUUACAGUAAUUGACAUGGAGUUCAUUGCCAGUACUUUGUUUCCAGCCAUUGAGAAAAAUAUUGUUAAGAAAAUGGUUGCUUUCAAUAACCAAAUUGAUCAUGAAGUGACUGUUGAGAAGAAAUGGGGGCAAAAAGGAGGACCCUGGGAAUUCAACCUCCGGGACCUUUUCCGCUGGUGUCAGUUGAUGCUGGUUGACCAGUCCCCUGGGUGUUAUGAUCCUGGUCAGCAUGUGUUUUUGGUCUAUGGUGAAAGAAUGAGAACCGAAGAGGACAAAAAAAAGGUCAUUGCUGUAUUCAAGGAUGUGUUUGGUUCAAAUUCCAACCCAUACAUGGGAACCAGACUAUUUCGUAUCACUCCCUAUGAUGUUCAGUUGGGCUACUCAGUCCUUUCCCGUGGGAGCUGUGUUCCUCACCCGUCCCGCCAUCCCCUGUUGCUCCUGCACCAGUCAUUCCAACCCCUGGAGUCAAUCAUGAAGUGUGUGCAGAUGAGCUGGAUGGUCAUCCUGGUUGGGCCAGCCUCUGUGGGCAAGACCAGCCUGGUCCAGCUUCUGGCACACCUUACUGGCCACACAUUAAAGAUCAUGGCUAUGAACAGUGCAAUGGAUACUACUGAGCUGCUGGGUGGAUUUGAGCAGGUUGAUCUUAUACGACCUUGGAGGCGGCUGCUAGAGAAGGUGGAGGGAACUGUAAGGGCACUGUUAAGGGAUAGCCUCCUUAUCAGUGCUGAUGAUGCAGAAGUAGUGCUGCGAGCCUGGAGUCAUUUUCUUCUGACAUAUAAGCCUAAGUGUCUUGGAGAAGGUGGUAAAGCUAUCACGAUGGAGAUUGUCAACAAACUAGAAGCAGUGUUAUUGCUUAUGCAGCGACUCAACAAUAAAAUCAACUCAUACUGCAAGGCAGAGUUUGCCAAACUUGUUGAAGAGUUCCGAAGCUUUGGUGUGAAGCUUACGCAGUUGGCCAGUGGCCAUAGCCAUGGCACAUUUGAAUGGGUUGACAGCAUGUUGGUUCAGGCCCUGAAGUCUGGAGACUGGCUUCUGAUGGACAAUGUUAACUUCUGCAACCCAUCAGUGUUGGAUCGUUUGAAUGCUUUGCUUGAACCCGGAGGUGUCCUCACUAUUAGUGAGAGAGGAAUGAUAGAUGGAUCCACUCCCACGAUAACACCAAAUCCCAAUUUCAGACUUUUCCUCUCGAUGGAUCCUGUUCAUGGAGAUAUAUCCCGAGCUAUGAGGAAUCGUGGACUUGAAAUCUACAUUUCAGGGGAAGGGGAUGCAAGCACCCCAGACAACCUGGAUUUGAAAGUUCUGCUGCACAGCCUUGGAUUGGUGGGGAACAGUGUAUGUGACAUCCUCUUGGCUUUACACACAGAGACCCGGAGCACUGUUGUAGGUUCUCCAACAUCUUCUGUAUCAACUCUAAUCCAGACAGCCAUACUAAUUGUCCAGUACCUGCAGCGAGGGCUGAGUUUAGACAGAGCCUUUUCUGAAGCAUGCUGGGAAGUAUAUGUCUGUUCCCAGCAUUCACCAGCAAACCGGAAGCUUGUACAGGCUUUACUGGAGAAACAUGUUUCUUCUUUGCGAGCACAUGAAACCUGGGGAGACUCCAUUCUUGGCAUGGGACUGUGGCCAGAUUCUGUGCCCUCAGCUCUCUUUGCUACUGAAGAUUCACACCUGUCUACAGUCCGAAGAGAUGGACAGAUCUUAGCAUAUUGUCUCAACAGGAUGAGCAUGAAAACCAGCAGCUGGACAAGGAGUCAGCCUUUUACCUUGCAAGACUUAGAGAAAAUUAUGCAGUCCCCCAGCCCUGAGAACCUGAAAUUCAAUGCAGUCGAAGUGAAUACUUACUGGAUCGAUGAACCAGAUGUUUUGGUCAUGGCUGUUAAAUUGCUCAUAGAAAGAGCAACCAAUCAGGAUUGGAUGCUCAGAGUUAAAUGGCUUUAUCAUUUAGCCAAGAAUAUACCGCAGGGGCUUGAGUCCAUACAAAUUCAUUUGGAAGCCAGUGCUGCAUCUCUCAGGAAUUUUUACUCACAUUCCCUCUCAGGUGCAGUCAGUAAUGUUUUCAAAAUAUUACAACCAAAUACAACAGAUGAAUUUGUGAUCCCUCUGGAUCCCCGAUGGAAUGUCCAGGCUCUGGACAUGAUUAGAAAUUUGAUGGACUUUGACCCACAAACGGACCAGCCUGACCAGCUCUUUGCCCUUUUAGAAUCAGCUGCAAACAAGACAAUCAUAUAUCUUGACCGGGAAAAACGGGUUUUUACUGAAGCAAAUUUGGUUUCUGUUGGUAGCAAAAAGCUAAGAGAGAGUGUUUUGAGAAUGUCCUUUGAAUUCCAUCAAGAUCCAGAAAGCUAUCACACUCUGCCCCAUGAAAUUGUGGUCAAUCUUGCUGCUUUUUUUGAACUUUGUGAUGCACUAGUCCUGCUCUGGGUACAGUCCUCCCAGGGAAUGGUGUCUGAUGCCAGUGUCAAUGAGAUCUUAGGUUCUCUGCGGUGGCGGGACCGGUUCUGGACUGUGGCUGACACAGUAAAAGUAGAUGCCCCAGGUCUGGCCCUUCUUGCCCUCCAUUGGCACUGGGUUUUAAAACAUCUGGUCCACCAGAUCCCCCGACUUCUGAUGAAUUAUGAAGACAAAUAUUACAAAGAAGUUCAGACUGUCUCAGAACAUAUUCAGAAUUGUCUGGGGAGCCAGACUGGUGGCUUCGCUGGUAUAAAGAAGUUGCAGAAGUUCCUGGGACGACCGUUUCCUUUUAAGGACAAGCUGGUGGUGGAGUGUUUUUCACAACUGAAGGUCCUUAACAAAGUCCUUGCCAUCAGGGAGCAGAUGUCUGCCCUUGGGGAGAGUGGAUGGCAGGAAGACAUUAACCGUCUCCAAGUGGUUGCUUCUCAGUGGACAUUAAAGAAAAGUCUCCUGCAAGCCUGGGGACUGAUCCUCAGAGCAAAUAUUUUGGAAGAUGUCAGCCUAGAUGAAUUGAAGAAUUUUGUGCAUGCUCAGUGUUUAGAACUGAAAGCCAAAGGACUCUCACUUGGUUUUCUGGAGAAAAAGCAUGAUGAAGCUUCCUCCCUGUCCCAUCCAGACUUGACCUCCGUAAUCCACCUCACGAGGAGUGUUCAGUUAUGGCCUGCAAUGGAGUACCUGGCUAUGCUUUGGCGGUACAAAGUGACAGCUGAUUUUAUGGCACAAGCUUGUCUCAGAAGAUGCAGCAAAAAUCAACAACCCCAGAUAAAUGAGGAGAUAAGUCACCUCAUCUCAUUUUGUCUUUAUCACACACCUGUUACACCUCAAGAGCUUCGAGAUCUGUGGUCCUUGCUGCAUCAUCAGAAGGUGUCUCCUGAAGAAAUUACAUCUUUGUGGUCCGAGUUAUUUAAUUCCAUGUUUAUGUCUUUCUGGAGCAGUACUGUGACCACAAAUCCAGAGUACUGGCUAAUGUGGAACCCUUUGCCUGGUAUGCAGCAGAGGGAGGCACCCAAGUCCGUUUUGGACUCCACAUUGAAGGGCCCCGGCAAUCUCAAUAGACCCAUAUUCUCUAAGUGCUGCUUUGAAGUCUUAACCAGCAGCUGGAGAGCAAGUCCCUGGGAUGUGAGUGGCCUCCCCAUUCUUUCCUCCUCUCACGUGACCCUAGGAGAGUGGGUUGAGAGAACUCAGCAGCUCCAGGACAUCAGUUCGAUGCUUUGGACUAACAUGGCUAUCUCUUCAGUAGCAGAAUUCAGACGCACGGAUUCCCAACUCCAGGGGCAGGUGCUGUUCCGGCACCUGGCAGGCCUAGCAGAGCUGCUCCCAGAGUCCCGGCGGCAGGAGUACAUGCAGAACUGUGAGCAGCUGCUGCUUGGGAGCAGCCAGGCCUUCCAGCAUGUGGGCCAGACACUUGGGGACAUGGCUGGUCAGGAGGUGCUGCCCAAGGAACUGCUCUGCCAGUUGCUCACCUCCCUGCACCACUUUGUUGGUGAAGGGGAGAGUAAGAGGAGCCUGCCUGAGCCAGCCCAGCGUGGGAGCCUCUGGGUGAGCCUCGGCUUGCUCCAGAUUCAGACAUGGCUUCCCCAGGCACGCUUUGACCCUGCGGUGAAGAGGGAGUACAAGCUCAAUUACGCCAAGGAAGAGUUACACCAACUGCAGUGUGAAUGGAAGACCCGGAACCUGUCAUCCCAGCUGCAGACUGGAAGAGACCUGGAAGAUGAAGUCGUUGUCAGCUACUCUCAUCCUCACGUCAGGCUGCUUCGCCAAAGGAUGGAUCGGCUGGAUAAUUUAACCUGUCACCUGUUGAAGAAACAGGCCUUUAGACCCCAGCUGCCUGCCUACGAGUCCCUGGUUCAGGAGAUCCACCACUACGUCACCAGCAUCGCCAAGGCCCCUGCUGUUCAGGAUCUGCUCACACGGCUUCUGCAGGCCCUCCACAUGGAUGGGCCACGGUCUGCCCAAGUAGCCCAGAGCCUUCUAAAGGAGGAGGCCUCUUGGCAGCAGUCACACCACCAGUUCCGGAAGCGGCUGUCAGAGGAGUACACCUUCUAUCCAGAUGCCGUGAGCCCACUGCAGGCAUCCAUAUUGCAGUUACAACAUGGCAUGAGGCUGGUGGCCUCUGAGCUCCACACCUCACUCCACAGCAGUAUGGUUGGUGCAGACAGGCUGGGGACCCUGGCCACAGCCUUGCUGGCUUUCCCAUCGGUGGGCCCCACCUUCCCCACUUACUAUGCUCAUGCAGACACUUUGUGCUCAGUGAAGUCUGAGGAGGUUCUACGAGGCCUUGGGAAGCUAAUCCUCAAGCGCUCAGGAGGAAAGGAGCUGGAAGGCAAGGGCCAGAAAGCCUGUCCCACUCGGGAGCAGCUGCUGAUGAAUGCUCUCCUUUACCUGCGCUCCCAUGUGUUAUGCAAGGGAGAGUUGGACCAGAGGGCCCUGCAGCUCUUCAGACAUGUGUGUCAGGAAAUCAUCAGUGAGUGGGAUGAGCAGGAACGCAUAGCCCAAGAGAAGGCUGAGCAGGAAAGCAGCCUGUAUAGAUACAGGAGCAGGAACUCUAGGACAGCCCUGAGUGAAGAGGAGGAGGAAGAACGGGAGUUCAGAAAACAGUUCCCCCUGCAUGAAAAGGACUUUGCAGAUAUUUUGGUACAGCCAACGUUGGAGGAGAACAAAGGAACUUCAGAUGGGCAAGAAGAGGAAGCAGGCACAAACCCAGCUCUCCUCUCCCAGAAUUCAAUGCAGGCAGUAAUGCUGAUACACCAGCAAUUGUGUCUCAACUUUGCUCGAUCCCUCUGGUAUCAACAGACUCUGCCGCCACAUGAAGCAAAGCAUUACCUCAGCCUGUUUCUGUCUUGCUAUCAGACUGGGGCAUCGCUUGUGACACACUUCUACCCCCUGAUGGGAGUUGAACUGAAUGACCGACUCUUGGGCAGCCAACUUUUGGCCUGUACCCUCUCCCAUAACACUCUUUUUGGGGAGGCACCCUCAGACCUGAUGGUGAAACCUGAUGGGCCCUAUGACUUCUACCAGCAUCCCAAUGUUCCAGAAGCACGGCAGUGUCAACCUGUGCUUCAAGGUUUCUCAGAGGCUGUCAGUCACUUGCUACAGGACUGGCCAGAACACCCAGCGCUUGAACAGCUCCUGGUUGUAAUGGACAGAAUUCGUAGUUUCCCACUUUCCAGUCCCAUCUCAAAGUUCCUGAAUGGCUUAGAGAUCCUUCUGGCAAAGGCACAGGAUUGGGAGGAAAAUGCAAGUCGAGCUUUGUCUUUGCGGAAACAUCUUGAUUUGAUCAGUCAGAUGAUCAUUCGGUGGCGUAAACUGGAGCUGAACUGCUGGUCCAUGAGUUUGGAUAAUACUAUGAAGCGCCACACCGAGAAAUCCACCAAGCACUGGUUCUCCAUCUAUCAGAUGCUUGAGAAGCACAUGCAGGAACAAACAGAAGAACAGGAAGAUGACAAACAGAUGACCUUGAUGUUGCUGGUCAGCACAUUACAAGCAUUUAUUGAAGGAUCCUCGCUGGGAGAGUUCCAUGUGCGACUUCAGAUGUUACUGGUUUUCCAUUGUCACGUCUUGCUGAUGCCACAGGUUGAAGGAAAGGAUUCACUUUGCAGUGUUCUAUGGAAUUUGUACCAUUAUUACAAGCAAUUCUUUGACCGGGUCCAGGCCAAAAUUGUGGAACUUCGUUCCCCCCUAGAAAAAGAACUUAAAGAAUUUGUUAAGAUUUCCAAGUGGAAUGAUGUCAGCUUCUGGUCCAUUAAGCAAUCUGUAGAAAAGACACACAGGACCCUCUUUAAAUUCAUGAAGAAAUUUGAAGCAGUCCUGAGUGAACCCUGCCGGUCAUCCCUGGUGGAGAGUGACAAGGAAGAACAGCCUGACUUUUUGCCCAGGCCAACAGAUGGAGCUGCAAGUGAACGGUCUUCCAUUCAGAAUCUGAACAGGGCACUGAGGGAGACCCUGUUAGCCCAACCAGCAGCUGGGCAGGCCACAAUUCCAGAGUGGUGUCAGGGCGCUGCUCCUUCCGGCUUGGAAGGGGAGCUUCUGCGUCGCUUGCCAAAGCUCAGGAAACGCAUGAGGAAGAUGUGCCUGACGUUCAUGAAGGAGAGCCCCCUGCCUCGCCUUGUGGAGGGCCUUGAUCAGUUCACAGGUGAAGUGAUUUCCUCUGUGAGUGAGCUGCAGAGCUUAAAGGUGGAACCCUCUGCAGAGAAGGAGAAGCAGCGGUCAGAAGCCAAGCACAUUCUCAUGCAAAAACAGCGAGCUUUGUCAGACCUCUUUAAACACCUUGCAAAAAUUGGUUUGUCGUAUCGCAAAGGUCUUGCUUGGGCCCGUUCAAAAAACCCUCAAGAGAUGCUUCAUCUUCACCCAUUAGAUCUCCAGAGCGCAUUGUCCAUCGUCAGCAGCACUCAGGAGGCUGAUUCUAGGCUGCUUACAGAAAUCUCGUCUUCAUGGGAUGGAUGCCAGAAGUAUUUUUAUCGCUCUCUUGCACGGCAUGCCAGGCUUAAUGCAGCACUAGCAACUCCUGCCAAGGAAAUGGGCAUGGGCAAUGUGGAGAGGUGCAGAGGGUUCUCAGCACAUUUGAUGAAGAUGCUCGUCCGACAGCGGCGCUCCCUGACCACGCUCAGUGAGCAGUGGAUCAUCCUCAGGAACCUCCUCAGCUGUGUGCAAGAGAUUCACAGCAGGCUGAUGGGGCCCCAGGCCUACCCCGUGGCUUUCCCCCCUCAGGAUGGCGUGCAGCAGUGGACAGAGCGCCUGCAGCACCUGGCCAUGCAGUGCCAGAUCCUGCUUGAGCAGCUCUCCUGGCUCCUCCAGUGCUGCCCCAGUGUAGGGCCAGCUCCAGGCCAUGGCAAUGUCCAGGUACUGGGGCAGCCUCCUGCCCCCUGCCUGGAAGGACCAGAACUUAGCAAGGGACAACUUUGUGGAGUAGUGCUGGACCUAAUUCCUUCCAAUCUGAGCUACCCAUCUCCAAUACCUGGAAGUCAGCUGCCCUCUGGUUGCCGGAUGCGGAAACAGGAUCACCUUUGGCAACAGUCAACUACGAGAUUAACAGAGAUGCUAAAAACCAUUAAAACAGUGAAAGCUGACGUCGACAAAAUUAGACAGCAGUCUUGUGAGACUCUCUUUCAUUCUUGGAAAGAUUUUGAAGUUUGCUCUUCUGCGCUGAGUUGCUUGUCCCAGGUGUCAGUUCAUUUGCAGGGCCUAGAGUCCUUGUUCAUUAUUCCAGGGAUGGAGGUUGAGCAAAGAGACUCACAAAUGGCACUAGUUGAAAGUCUGGAAUAUGUAAGAGGAGAAAUUAGUAAAGCCAUGGCUGACUUUACUACCUGGAAGACCCAUCUGCUUACUUCAGGUAGCCAAGGAGGAAAUCAAAUGUUGGACGAAGGAUUUGUGGAAGAUUUUUCAGAGCAAAUGGAAAUUGCCAUCCGAGCCAUCCUCUGUGCCAUCCAGAACUUAGAAGAAAGAAAGAAUGAAAAAGCAGAGGAGAACACUGACCAAGCAAGCCCACAAGAAGAGUAUGUAGGCUUUGAGAGACUGCAAUCAGGACAUCUAACAAAACUCUUAGAGGAUGACUUCUGGGCCGAUGUGAGCACUUUGCACGUGCAGAAAAUAAUUUCUGCCAUCUCCGAGCUGUUGGAGAGGCUGAAAUCGUACGGUGAGGAUGGCACAGCAGCAAAGCACCUGUUCUUCAGCCAAUCCUGUUCCUUGCUGGUGCGCCUGGUGCCGGUCCUCUCCAGCUACUCAGACCUCGUCCUCUUCUUCCUGACCAUGUCUUUAGCAACUCACCGUAGUACUGCAAAGCUGCUCUCUGUGCUUGCCCAGGUCUUUACAGAGCUUGCCCAGAAGGGAUUUUGCUUGCCCAAAGAAUUUAUGGAAGAUUCAGCUGGAGAGGGAGCAACUGAGUUCCAUGACUAUGAGGGAGGUGGAAUUGGAGAAGGCGAGGGCAUGAAGGAUGUGAGUGACCAGAUCGAAAAUGAAGAACAGGUGGAAGAUACAUUUCAGAAGGGUCAAGAAAAAGACAAAGAGGAUCCUGAUUCAAAAUCUGAUAUUAAGGGCGAGGAUAAUGCCAUUGAGAUGUCGGAAGAUUUUGAUGGGAAAAUGCAUGAUGGGGAGCUUGAAGAACAAGAAGAGGAUGAUGAGAAAUCAGAUAGUGAGGGCGGAGACCUGGAUAAACACAUGGGCGAUCUCAAUGGUGAGGAAGCUGACAAACUAGAUGAGAGGCUUUGGGGUGAUGACGAUGAGGAGGAAGAUGAGGAGGAAGAAGACAAUAAAACUGAAGAAACAGGACCAGGAAUGGAUGAGGAAGAUUCUGAACUUGUUGCUAAAGAUGACAAUUUGGAUAGUGGCAAUUCAAACAAAGAUAAAAGCCAGCAAGAUAAGAAGGAAGAAAAGGAAGAAGCAGAAGCUGAUGAUGGUGGACAAGGUGAAGACAAAAUUAAUGAACAAAUAGAUGAGAGGGAAUAUGAUGAAAAUGAGGUGGACCCUUACCAUGGCAAUCAGGAAAAGGUGCCAGAACCCGAGGCUUUGGACCUUCCAGAUGACUUGAACCUCGACAGUGAAGACAAGAAUGGUGGUGAGGACACCGACAAUGAAGAAGGAGAAGAAGAGAAUCCUUUGGAGAUAAAAGAAAAACCAGAAGAAGCAGGUCAUGAAGCUGAGGAAAGAGGAGAGACCGAGACUGACCAGAACGAAAGUCAGAGUCCACAGGAGCCUGAGGAAGGCCCCAGUGAAGAUGACGAGGCAGAAGGGGAAGAGGAAAUGGACACAGGAGCUGAUGACCAAGAUGGAGAUGCUGCUCAGCAUCCUGAAGAACACUCUGAGGAGCAGCAGCAGUCUGUGGAGGAAAAAGACAAGGAAGCCGAUGAAGAAGGUGGAGAGAAUGGCCCUGCUGACCAAGGUUUCCAGCCCCAGGAGGAAGAAGAACAGGAGGACUCUGAUACAGAGGAGCAGGUGCCAGAGGCUUUGGAGAGGAAGGAGCAUGCCUCCUGUGGGCAGACUGGUGUGGAGAACAUGCAGAACACACAGGCCAUGGAGCUGGCUGGGGCCGCACCUGAGAAGGAGCAGGGGAAAGAGGAACACGGAAGUGGAGCUGCAGAUGCAAACCAGGCAGAAGGCCAUGAAUCGAAUUUCAUUGCCCAGUUGGCCUCCCAGAAGCACACCAGGAAAAACACACAGAGUUUUAAGAGGAAACCUGGGCAGGCUGACAAUGAACGUUCCAUGGGUGAUCACAAUGAGCGUGUGCACAAGAGGCUGAGGACUGUGGAUACGGACAGCCAUGCCGAGCAGGGGCCAGCUCAGCAGCCCCAGGCCCAGGUGGAGGAUGCAGAUGCAUUCGAGCACAUUAAACAAGGCAGUGACGCAUACGAUGCACAGACCUAUGAUGUGGCCAGCAAAGAACAGCAACAGUCUGCAAAAGACUCUGGCAAAGAUCAGGAAGAGGAGGAGAUAGAGGACACCCUUAUGGACACAGAGGAGCAGGAGGAGUUCAAAGCAGCAGACGUGGAGCAGCUGAAGCCAGAGGAAAUCAAGUCGGGCACCACAGCACCCUUGGGCUUUGAUGAGAUGGAAGUGGAGAUCCAAACUGUUAAAACAGAGGAAGACCAAGACCCCAGAACAGACAAAGCCCAUAAGGAGACAGAAAAUGAGAAACCAGAAAGAAGCCGAGAGUCUACCAUUCAUACAGCUCAUCAAUUCCUCAUGGACACGAUCUUCCAGCCCUUUUUAAAAGAUGUCAAUGAGCUAAGACAGGAGCUGGAGAGACAGCUGGAAAUGUGGCAGCCACGUGAAUCUGGAAACCCAGAGGAAGAGAAGGUUGCAGCUGAGAUGUGGCAGAGUUACCUGAUCUUAACAGCGCCUCUUUCACAACGGUUAUGUGAAGAGCUUCGUCUCAUAUUAGAGCCUACCCAGGCAGCCAAGCUGAAAGGAGACUAUCGAACUGGGAAACGACUAAACAUACGGAAAGUCAUUCCAUACAUUGCUAGUCAAUUUCGGAAAGACAAGAUUUGGCUUCGAAGGACCAAGCCCAGUAAACGCCAGUAUCAGAUUUGUUUGGCUAUCGAUGACUCUUCUAGUAUGGUAGACAAUCAUACCAAGCAGCUUGCAUUUGAAUCUUUGGCUGUGAUUGGAAAUGCUCUAACCCUCCUGGAAGUGGGUCAGAUUGCAGUGUGUAGUUUUGGAGAAUCUGUAAAGCUGUUACACCCAUUUCAUGAGCAGUUCAGUGAUUACUCUGGGUCCCAGAUUCUACGUCUCUGCAAAUUCCAACAAAAGAAAACCAAGAUUGCUCAGUUUCUAGAGUCUGUUGCCAACAUGUUUGCAGCCGCUCAGCAGCUCUCGCAGAACAUCAGUUCAGAAACUGCACAACUCCUCCUGGUAGUCUCUGAUGGGCGAGGCCUUUUCCUUGAGGGCAAAGAAAGAGUCCUGGCAGCAGUUCAGGCUGCCCGGAAUGCAAAUAUCUUUGUCAUCUUUGUUGUAUUGGACAAUCCCAGUUCACGGGUGAGUGACUACUAAAAGCCACCUUUUCUGGAGAUAAAGUGGGGAUUCCCUUCAACCUGUUCAAUCUGAAAUAUGGCCUGGAUCACUCAGUCAUACUGAGAACUCCCAGCAUUCACAGUAUUCUGUCAAGUACCAUUGUAGGCACUUGAUUCUAUCUUGGACAUUAAAGUACCUAUAUUUAAAGGACCUGGAGAGAUGCCUGAAAUCCGAUCCUACAUGGAAGAGUUCCCAUUCCCAUACUAUAUCAUUCUUCGAGAUGUAAACGCACUUCCUGAGACACUCAGCGAUGCCCUCAGACAGUGGUUUGAGUUGGUGACAGCCUCUGACCACCCAUAGAACAGAAAGAGUCCAAAGUGAGACUUAACUGUGGUCAGAAGGUCACAUUGCUUACCCAGGUGCUCCCUUUUGGACAACUACAAAAAAUUUUAUUGUAAUAUUUUUAUUUUACAACGUGAUCUUACAGCCUACAGAAUGCUCUCUGGCUCCCGGCUUUGCCUGGGCUGAGGUUUUUAUACCAAACCUGGAAGCAGCAGCAGGUGCCUGAACUUGUAACUAGAGAAGAGUUAUCCUUCUUCCCUCCCUUGGAAGCCCUGGCCUGGGAGGAGGUCAUACCCCACCGUUGGAGCCCAGCUGCCUGUUUUCUUUUGCAGGGGAUCUGGGCACCUGUGCCUUGAGGAGAUGCUGCCAGGAGCAUGGGACUCUGACAGUCCUUUGUAUAAAGGACUAAAGGGAGCUGCCCUUUUGACCCUGUUCUAAGCUCUGCCUUGCCAAGCCCACAGUGUGUACCCAAAAGCUGUCAAGUGGCCAAGACAGCUCCAGUUUCUGGAGAGUAUGAGGGUGUGUUUUCUUAUUGUGAAAGGAACUACCUUCUCUUAGAGGGUAGGAAGAAUGUGGUGUGUGUGUGUUCUCAUAAAGCAACUGGACAUUAUAGGCGCCCAGGUCAUCUAUAAAAAUGAUCCUUGGGCUGUGUAAAAAUGAAGUGGCUUUUCAGUAUCCUCUUUCACACUUGCUGCUUCGGGAGACUAUGCAAUGAUGGGAAGGUGAUUGCCCCUUUAUUUCAUUCAGUGCCAUGGUCCCUGUUGUUGUAGUAAUUUAUUUGUUUAGUUCAUUUUUUUUUUUCUUAACAGUUAAGGGGAAGAGUGAUUCCUCACACUGCUUUCAAGCUGGACUGAGCCAGUCUCAUUCUGGGAAAGAAACGCUGUGUCCAGAACUCAGCAGCUCCAUCUAUUUUUUCCAGUCAAAAGAAACUGAUUUUUAGGCAGUUUUUACUUGGCCAGAAAGCAGUGCUGAAUACUUGAAACUGUGUGCUCUGUUCUACUUAAUGUUCUGUCAGAAUGUUCUUUUGUAAGCAGUAUGUCAUGAUGUAAUCAUCUAUCUCCUUGUCUGUUUCCAAGUUACACUGUGAAGUCUGCCACCCUUUUGAGGUGGUCAUCAAAGACACAGAUUCCUUGUUUAACCAAGUGUCCCAAAGCAUGUACCUGAAGUUAUAUCAUUUUUUUAUUCUAAAAAGCUAUGCAGCUUAUAUUCUGAAAACUAUUAAAACAUAUACCACUGUUGAUGUAA